UACGGGGGGGGCAAGCGUUGUUCGGAAUUACUGGGCGUAAAGGGCUCGUAGGUGGCCAACUAAGUCAGACGUGAAAUCCCUCAGCUUAACUGGGGAACUGCGUCUGAUACUGGAUGGCUUGAGAUUGGGAGAGGGAUGCGGAAUUCCAGGUGUAGCGGUGAAAUGCGUAGAUAUCAGGAAGAACACCCGUGGCUAAGGCGGCUCUCUAGUACGGUACUGACGCUGAGACGCGAAAGCGUGGGGAGCGAACAGG
rnacentral:rRNA from 1 species